UUUCCGUAGGUGAACCUGCGGAAGGAUCAUUAUUGGAUUUUGAAACUUCAGGCUGCUGCUGGCUCUCCUCGGAGGGCAUGUGCACGCUUGUUGUCCAUAAUUUCUCCCACUGUGCACAAAUUGUAGACCUUUCAGUAGGCCUAUGUUGUUUUUCACAAUCUCUGAAUGUAAUAGAAUGGUUUUGAAUCUUGGGAAAUACAAUACAACUUUCAGCAACGGAUCUCUUGGCUCUC
rnacentral:misc_RNA from 1 species